UUAGUUAGUUGGUAGGGUAAUGGCCUACCAAGGCUGCGAUGGGUAGCCGGUCUGAGAGGAUGGUCGGCCACACUGGGACUGAGACACGGCCCAGACUCCUACGGGAGGCAGCAGUGGGGAAUUUUGCGCAAUGGGGGGAACCUUGACGCAGCGACGCCGCGUGGGUGAUGAAGGCCUUCGGGUUGUAAAGCCCUGUUGGGGGGGAAGAUAAUGACGGUACCCCCUGAGGAAGCCCCGGCUAACUACGUGCCAGCAGCCGCGGUAAGACGUAGGGGGCGAGCGUUGUCCGGAAUUACUGGGCGUAAAGGGCGUGUAGGCGGCUUUUCAAGUCGGCUGUGAAAUUCCCCGGCUUAACCGGGGGGGUGCAGUCGAAACUGAUGGGCUUGAGUGCAGGAGAGGGUGGUGGAAUUCCCGGUGUAGCGGUGACAUGCGUAGAUAUCGGGAGGAACACCGGUGGCGAAGGCGACCUCCUGGCCUGUUACUGACGCUGAGGCGCGAAAGCUGGGGGAGCAAACAGGAUUAGAUACCCUGGUAGUCCCAGCUGUAAACUCUGGGUACUAGGUGUAGGGGGCUUCGAUGCCCUCUGUGCCGUAGUUAAC
rnacentral:rRNA from 1 species